AAUAACUGUUAAUAAUACACUCAUUCACUUGUUAAUACUGUAGGACCGACAGUUGUUUGAUGCUGCUCGAGAUGGAAAUAUUGAAGGAAUGAAAUCAGCCCUCUCCAAUGGGGCAGAUAUCAACUGGAGUAAUCCUGAUAGGCGUAACAUGACUCCAUUACAUGCAGCAGCUCAAUAUAACAAGAGUAAUGCUGUCCAGUGGUUACUCAGUAAAGGGGCUACCGUUGACUCAAGAGCUGGUGUGAGUUGUAUAUUGAAUGACACACAUUAUUACAACAUGAUGUAAUGUAGUACAUGCUAGUUGAUAAUAAACCAGUUCCAAUACAUGUUUUUUCUUUAU